rnacentral:rRNA from 1 species
UACGUAGGGGGCUAGCGUUGUCCGGAAUCAUUGGGCGCAAAGCGCGUGUAGGCGGUCCGGUAAGUCCGCUGUGAAAGUCGGGGGCUCAACCCUCGAAUGCCGGUGGAUACUGUCGGGCUAGAGUGCGGAAGAGGCGAGUGGAAUUCCUGGUGUAGCGGUGGAAUGCGCAGAUAUCAGGAGGAACACCAAUAGCGAAGGCAGCUCGCUGGGACGUUACUGACACUGAGGCGCGAAAGCGUGGGGAGCGAACAGG